AUUGAACGCUGGCGGCAGGCCUAACACAUGCAAGUCGAACGAGUGGCGGACGGGAGAGUAAUGUAUCGGAACGUGCCCAGUAGCGGGGGAAAACUACUCGAAAGAGUGGCUAAUACCGCAAACUUGUGGCGCGGACGUAUAUGGAUUAGGUAGUUGGUGGGGUAAAGGCUCACAAAGGCAACGAUCCGUAGCGGGUUUGAGAGGACGACCAGCCACACUGGAACUGAGACACGGCCCAGACUCCUACGGGAGGCAGCAGUGGGGAAUUUUGGGCAAUGGGGGAAACCCUGAUCCAGCCAUCCCGCGUGUGUGAGAAGGCCUUCGGGUUGUAAAGUACUUUUAGCAGGGAAGCGGUAUCUGCAGAAUAAGCACCGGCUAACUACGUGCCAGCAGCCGCGGUAAUUC
rnacentral:rRNA from 1 species